rnacentral:rRNA from 1 species
CCUACGGGUGGCAGCAGUGGGGAAUAGUGCACAAUGGGGGGAACCCGGAUGCAGCGACGCCGCGGGGGUGAGGAAGUACUUCGGUAUGGAAAGCCCUAUCAGCAGGGAAGAAAAUGACGGUACCUGACUAAGAAGCCCCGGCUAACUACGUGCCAGCAGCAGCGGUACUACGUAGGGGGCAAGCGUUAUCCGGAUUUACUGGGUGGAAAGGGAGCGUAGACGGCGUGCCAGGUCUGAUGUGAAAGGCGGGGGCUCAACCCCGGGACUGCAGUGGAAACUGGCAUGCUGGAGUGCCGGAGGGUCAAGCGGAAUUCCUAGUGUAGCGGUGAAAUGCGUAGAUAUUAGGAGGAACACCGGUGGCGAAGGCGGCUUGCUGGACGGUAACUGACGUUGAGGCUCGAAAGCGUGGGGAGCAAACAGGAUUAGAUACCCUUGUAGUC